GCCCCUGUAGCUCAGUCGGUAGAGCACUUCCAUGGUAAGGAAGGGGUCACCGGUACAAGUCCGGUCGGGGGCU
rnacentral:tRNA from 1 species